CCUACGGGGGGCAGCAGUGAGGAAUAUUGGACAAUGGGCGCGAGCCUGAACCAGCCAAGUAGCGUGAAGGAUGACGACCCUACGGGUGGUAAACUUCGUUUAUAAAGGAAUAAAGUGAGGCACGUGUGCCUUUUUGUAUGUACUUUAUGAAUAAGAAUAGGCUAACUCCGUGCCAGCAGCCGCGGUAAUACGGAGGGGCCGAGCGUUCUCCGGAUUUAUUGGGUUGAAAGGGCGCGUAGAUGGGUUGUUAAGUCAGUUGUGAAAGUUUGCGGCUCAACCGUAAAAUUGCCAUUGAUACUGGCAGUCUUGAGUACAGUUGAGGUAGGCGGAAUUCGUGGUGUAGCGGUGAAAUGCUUAGAUAUCACGAAGCACUCCGAUUGCGAAGGCAGCUUACUAAACUGCCACUGACAUUGAUGCUCGAAAGUGUGGGUAUCAAACAGGAUUAGAUACCCGAGUAGUC
rnacentral:rRNA from 1 species